rnacentral:misc_RNA from 1 species
GUUUAUAGUUGUACAUUGUACGAUGACAUUCCAUUACAUUCAGAGUGUGUAAAGUACUCGAGCACCAGGUUCAAGACCAUAAAAGCCUUACAACCUUCUGCCAUAUGACUGGCGGUGCUCAGAGUCAAAGUGCACAGGUGUGUGGAUUGCGACUGAACGUGCACAUGUGUUGCCACCAGCACAGGACAGCCGACUUGAAGUUUCAUUAAUGAUCCUUCCGCAGGUUCACCUACGGAAA